rnacentral:tRNA from 1 species
GCGGACAUGGCUCAGUCGGUAGAGCGCGACCUCCCCAAGGUCGAAGUCCCGGGUUCGAACCCCGGUGUCCGCU